rnacentral:lncRNA from 1 species
GGGGGAUUAUAUUAUAUUGAUGCAUAGGGUGCAUUGUUAGUCGUUAGAUUCAGUAAAGCUUUAACAUCCAACAGUAUACAUAGUCCAUCAAAGAACACUUACCGCGGUUGUUCGUGGUAGAAUCCACAUAUUUCACCAUUUUAUAUUUAUGUCCUGUCAAAUUUUGUACAGUUUAACCAUCAUGAUUUUUUGACAAAAACUACACUUUGUAGAUUCACAAAAUCAGAGUAGCUUACCGAGAUUUUGGAAUCCCAUUGCUCAUCCAAACAUUAUCCACAGGGAGCACACACAGCUCGAUCGAACAUUAUAUCAUGCAACAACUCGAGUGGCUAUAACAUUAUAUCAAUAUCAACUUGUGGAUUAUGAUUUGAAGCAUGUAGUACCAAAAUACCGAAGCUUCUAAACAUGAGGAUCAGGUUCCCUUUUUGAACAUAAUGAGAAUCUAGCAUCUAAACUCAGUUGUUUAACAUUAUCAUAUAAAAGUCUCAAAUUUCAAAAAUCAAUGUUCGAAAUAAAAAAAAAACUUCAAACAGCUUUUCUGACAGCACAACAUACCAGUAAACAAUACUAAAAACAAAAGAUAAAGCAAAAGAAAUUAAUCUGUUCAGUCUAAUGCAACUAUACUACAAUCGUAAAUAAUUGUAAACGCACUAGCUUCUUGAAGAUACAGUGUUACAAAACUUCAGCCUAUUCUCACAAGAGGAUUUCUGCCAACAGAAACAAAAUUGCCGGAUGUGGUUCCAAUCAUUAUCUUAAAGAUUCACAUCUUCAUUUUGUUGAGAUCCUGCAAUAUGAAACCAAAAAGGAUGCAUUAGAACAUGUCCAAACUUACCUUAUGCAUUUUGCUUUUUUCCCCAAUCCCCAUUGCACCUUCUCUAAUAAAACACCAAUUGCAGAACUUUUUUAACUAGUAUUCAAUUCUGUGAAGUGAGAUUUGAAAAUCCAUUUAUGACAAGAGAGACAUUAACAAACAGUGACAUACAUUUUGCAAAUCCUUCAUUUUGACUUGAAUA